rnacentral:rRNA from 1 species
GCACCAGACUCCUACGGGAGGCAGCAGUGGGGAAUAUUGCACAAUGGGGGAAACCCUGAUGCAGCGACGCCGCGUGAAGGAAGAAGUAUUUCGGUAUGUAAACUUCUAUCAGCAGGGAAGAAAAUGACGGUACCUGACUAAGAAGCCCCGGCUAACUACGUGCCAGCAGCCGCGGUAAUACGUAGGGGGCAAGCGUUAUCCGGAUUUACUGGGUGUAAAGGGAGCGUAGACGGCGGUGCAAGCCAGAUGUGAAAGCCCGGGGCUCAACCCCGGGACUGCAUUUGGAACUGUGCUGCUAGAGUGUCGGAGAGGCAGGCGGAAUUCCUAGUGUAGCGGUGAAGUGCGUAGAUAUUAGGAGGAACACCAGUGGCGAAGGCGGCCUGCUGGACGACGACUGACGUUGAGGCUCGAAAGCGUGGGGAGCAAACAGGAUUAGAUACCCCAGUAC